CAGAGAUCCUCACUAUGGGCUGUCCAGAGAUCCUCACUAUGGGCUGUCCAGAGAUUCUCACUUUGGGCUGUCCAGAGAUCCUCACUAUGGGCUGUCCAGAGAUCCUCACUAUGGGCUGUCCAGAGAUUCUCACUACGGGCUGUCCAGAGAUCCUCACUAUGGGCUGUCCAGAGAUCCUCACUAUGGGCUGUCCAGAGAUUCUCACUUUGAGCUGUCCAGAGAUCC